rnacentral:rRNA from 1 species
UUGGGAUAAGCCUGGGAAACUGGGUCUAAUACCGAAUAUGACCNCGCUCUUCAUGGGGUGUGGUGGAAAGCUUNUGCGGUGUGGGAUGGGCCCGCGGCCUAUCAGCUUGUUGGUGGGGUAAUGNCCUACCAAGGCGACGACGGGUAGCCGGCCUGAGAGGGUGACCGGCCACACUGGGACUGAGAUACGGCCCAGACUCCUACGGGAGGCAGCAGUGGGGAAUAUUGCACAAUGGGCGCAAGCCUGAUGCAGCGACGCCGCGUGAGGGAUGACGGCCUUCGGGUUGUAAACCUCUUUCAAUAGGGACGAAGCGCAAGUGACGGUACCUAUAGAAGAAGGACCGGCCAACUACGUGCCAGCAGCCGCGGUAAUACGUAGGGUCCGAGCGUUGUCCGGAAUUACUGGGCGUAAAGAGCUCGUAGGUGGUUUGUCGCGUUGUUCGUGAAAACUCACAGCUUAACUGUGGGCGUGCGGGCGAUACGGGCAGACUAGAGUACUGCAGGGGAGACUGGAAUUCCUGGUGUAGCGGUGGAAUGCGCAGAUAUCAGGAGGAACACCGGUGGCGAAGGCGGGUCUCUGGGCAGUAACUGACGCUGAGGAGCGAAAGCGUGGGGAGCGAACAGGAUUAGAUACCCUGGUAGUCCACGCCGUAAACGGUGGGUACUAGGUGUGGGUUUCCUUCCUUGGGAUCCGUGCCGUAGCUAACGCAUUAAGUACCCC